GCAGACACAUUCCAGCCAAUCAGCAGCAAACCCUCCCUCCCAGACCCUCCCACCUCCUGGACAGCAUCCAUUUUACAUUCAUUGUGAAGCUGCAUUCUUAGUGAGCUGUCCAGGAGGUGGGAGGGUCUGGGAGGGAGGGUCUGCUGCUGAUUGGCUGGAAUGUGUCUG
rnacentral:miRNA from 1 species